rnacentral:rRNA from 1 species
GCGACGAUCGGUAGCCGGCCUGAGAGGGCGGACGGCCACACUGGGACUGAGACACGGCCCAGACUCCUACGGGAGGCAGCAGUAGGGAAUUGUUCGCAAUGGGCGCAAGCCUGACGACGCAACGCCGCGUGGAGGAUGAAGACCCUCGGGUCGUAAACUCCUUUCGACCGAGAUGAACAUCCAUGGGGCUAAUACCCCCGUGGACUGACAGUAUCGGGAGAAGAAGCCCCGGCUAACUCCGUGCCAGCAGCCGCGGUAAUACGGGGGGGGCAAGCGUUGUUCGGAAUUACUGGGCGUAAAGGGUCCGUAGGCGGCCAACUAAGUCAGACGUGAAAUCCCCCGGCUUAACCGGGGAACUGCGUCUGAUACUGGUUGGCUUGAGUGCAGGAGAGGAACGCGGAAUUCCAGGUGUAGCGGUGAAAUGCGUAGAUAUCUGGAGGAACACCGGUGGCGAAGGCGGCGUUCUGGACUGUAACUGACGCUGAGGGACGAAAGCCAGGGGAGCAAACGGGAUUAGAUACCCCGGUAGUCCUGGCCCUAAACGAUGAAUGCUUGGUGUGGCGGGUAUCGAUCCCUGCCGUGCCGUAGUUAACGCGUUAAGCAUCCGC